rnacentral:rRNA from 1 species
UACAGAGGUCUCAAGCGUUGUUCGGAUUCAUUGGGCGUAAAGGGUGCGUAGGUUGGCGCGCUAAGUCAGGUGUGAAAUUUCGGAGCUUAACUCCGAAACUGCAUUUGAUACUGGCGUGCUUGAGGACUGGAGAGGAGACUGGAAUUCAUGGUGUAGCAGUGAAAUGCGUAGAUAUCAAGUGGAACACCAGUGGUGAAGGCGAGUCUCUGGACAUUUUCCUGACGCUGAGGCACGAAAGCCCAGGGGAGCAAACGGGG